AUUGAACGCUGGCGGAAUGCUUUACACAUGCAAGUCGAACGGCAGCACGGGGGCAACCCUGGUGGCGAGUGGCGAACGGGUGAGUAAAACAUCGGAACGUGCCCAGUCGUGGGGGAUAACGUAGCGAAAGUUACGCUAAUACCGCAUACGAUCUACGGAUGAAAGCGGGGGACCGUAAGGCCUCGCGCGAUUGGAGCGGCCGAUGUCAGAUUAGGUAGUUGGUGAGGUAAAGGCUCACCAAGCCGACGAUCUGUAGCUGGUCUGAGAGGACGACCAGCCACACUGGGACUGAGACACGGCCCAGACUCCUACGGGAGGCAGCAGUGGGGAAUUUUGGACAAUGGGCGCGAGCCUGAUCCAGCCAUUCCGCGUGCAGGACGAAGGCCUUCGGGUUGUAAACUGCUUUUGUACGGAACGAAAAGGCUCUGGUUAAUACCUGGGGCUCAUGACGGUACCGUAAGAAUAAGCACCGGCUAACUACGUGCCAGCCGCCGCUGUAA
rnacentral:rRNA from 1 species